rnacentral:misc_RNA from 1 species
GAUGAAGAACGUAGCGAAAUGCGAUAAGUAAUGUGAAUUGCAGAAUUCAGUGAAUCAUCGAAUCUUUGAACUCACAUUGCGCCCCUUGGUAUUCCGAGGGGCAUGCCUGUUCGAGCGUCAUUAUAACCCCUCAAGCUCAGCUUGGUAUUGGGGCCUGCCAUCCUGGCAGCCCUUAAAAUCAGUGGCGGUGCCAUCCGGCUCUAAGCGUAGUAACUCCUCUCGCUAUGGAGUCCUGGUGGAUGCUUUGCCAUUAAUCUUUUAACUUCUAUGGUUGACCUCGGAUCAGGUAGGGAUACCCGCUGAACUUAAGCAUAUCAAUAAGCGGAGGA